GAAAAGUGAGUUAUAUGUCAUGCGCUGUUUUUAUUACAUAUAUGCCCCCCUUCCAUCUACUCUGGAAAUAAACAUGUGGGGCUUUAUGCAUAAGAAUCUGGGGUCUCAGCAUCUAGGAGAAAUUUGUGAGAACAUUGUUCUGGAUGACUCAAUGCUGAAAUGAGACUGCAGAACUUUCAGAGUUAAGAAAGGAGAGGAAAAAAAAAUGAACUUAUUUUUGUCUUUAAUCAAUAGGAAAAUAUUUUCUCAAGCUUCCUAACUCUAUUACAAUAGUGGGAACUGAGCCAAUAUUUGAUCUUGUUUGUGAACAGUGUUAUAAUCUUAAAUAUCCCAGUGAGUACUCUUUUUAAAUUUUAAUACUAAGAGAGACAUGUUACUAUUGUUCAUCACCUUAGUCUCAUACUAACUAUAACAAUGAAAUACAGACAUUAUUAGAAAUAGCUAUUUGACUUACACAUACAUACAAAAGGAAACAUUUUAAGCAUAAAUUUUCAAUUUAGUGAAUUCAUCUCUACAGAUAGAAUUCACACCAUCUUAACAUUAAUUAGUGUCAUGUUUAAAUUAUAUGUGAAAGUUUUAUAUAUUUACUUAAUAUAUUGGUUAGUGUUCUCUAUAGGAAGAAUUCAAUAGUGAUCUGUAUCAUGAAAGAAAAAUAUACAGUUAGAGCGGCCUCUGCACACUGGAGAUCUGGAGAAUCCAGUAGCUGUUCAAUUCAAAAAGCUGGAAGUCACAAAAAGAACAUGAAUCAAGGAUGCAAUACCAAUCCAAGCCUAAAAGCCUGGAAGCCCCCUGGAGAGACACUGUGUGUGAACAUGGUGCUGCAGAGGAAGAAAAGAUUACUCAGAGACAAGACUUGAUGUGAACAUGAAGUAGGGACUGCACCAAGACAGCACCCAGCUGGAAGGAGUCUCUAGGAAGCAGGGCUGAACUGAGAACUAAACUAGGACCCAGGAAACCAUUCUAGCCAAGAGAAAGUUGAACAGUCUGCUGUCCUGAAUAAUCACUUGAUAGACUACGCACUGAACUAGCCAUGCACUUUUUCUAUAUUAAGCAAGUGAGAGUAGUCAUAUAUCACUUAAUGAAGAUAAUAUAUUUUGAAAAAUAUAUCCUUGGGUGUUUUUUGGUUGUGAGAAUAUCAUAGAUUGAACUUACACAAACCUAGAUGGCAAAGGUCAGUCACUCAGUGUAGCCUCUUGCUACAAUAAAAAAUUAUGGGAAUCAUGAAAUGCAUGAGACUACUGACAGAAUAAUGUGACAUAUAGUUUGACAAUAUUUUUUUUUAUAUUUAGGUAGGAGUACACUCUAAAAUAAUGAUGAAUAAUAUAGUAAUAGUAAAUACUUAAACCAGUAAAAUAGUAAUAUAUUAUCAUUAUCAAUUAAAUAUUAUGCACUCUAUAUAAUUGUAUAUACUACACUUUAUGGGACUACCAGAACCAUAGAUUUCAUCCCACCUGUAUCACCUCAACAAGUGAAGAAAUCAUUGAGCUAUGAUAUUAGGACACCUAUGAUGACAUGCCAUUAUAAUCUAUGGGACCAUUAUCCUAUAGGUGAAUGAAUGUCCUUAACCUAAAUGCAUUUUUUAUCACAAGACUGUACUUUUUGAUUGUUAUUAUAGAAACUAAUGUUUAAUAAAGAAUUUUUAAAUUUUA